UACGUAGGGUGCGGAGCGUUAAUCGGAAUUACGUGGGCGUAAAGCGUGCGCAGGCGGUUGUGCAAGACAGAUGUGAAAAUCCCCGGGCUUGAACCUGGGAAUUCGCAUUUGUGACUGCACGGCUAGAGUGUGUCAGAGGGGAGGUAGAAUUCCACGUGUAGCAGUGAAAUGCGUAGAUAUGAUGGAGGAAUACCGAUGGCGAAGGCAGGCCCC
rnacentral:rRNA from 1 species